UUAAUACAAAAGAUUGAGAAACUGAAAUAAUUCAUUAAUACAGUGCUCAACAUUCAGGGACCUUGUUUUGUUAAUUUAUAAUAAUUAAUUUUGUUAAUCUGAAAUGUACUAAUGUUUAUAAACAUCAUUAUUUCUCAAAAUUCCGAUUGCAAUAUUUUAAUUGAAAUAUUAUCUUUAAUUCUUUGUUUUGUAACUUAUAUACAAAGAUAUUAAGUUUGCAAUGUUCUACCUCGACCUUGAAACCUCUCUAGUUCGUUUUCCUUCUGGGGUCCAUGUGAGAACAACAGUUCUUUUGUCUCCAGUCAUUAUUUGUAAAAUAAUAAAUGCAAGUAGUAUUCAUUUAAAGACAACUGCAAGCUAAAAGCAGUGCAGCAAAUUUAAAAUACCAGUUUCUUUUAAUUGAUUAUUCAAUCUCUAAAAUUUUCUUUUUCUAGAAUGUUAUUUAAAUUGUUUGAGAGUUGGAGUAAAAUUUACAUUUUAAAUUCAGUAAAAUUUACAUCUCAUUGUUUUUUCUUUUCUUCCCAUGUUGGUAACUGCGCUUAUUUUUGCACUUAAUUUAAAAUAUUUGUUUCUUUCUUACCUAGAGUACGAAACUGUUGCCUUUCCUUUGAAGUAUUUUUGGGUGCUGAAGAUUACAAAUAGGAAGGAAUUGAUAUUGGUAUCACUGAUAGUCAAAAACAAGAAGCUAUCAGCCUACCUUAUGGAACCUGAAACAAAAGUUGAAUCUGUUGCUUUGGUUACUCAUUAUGAGCAACAAGAAGAUAUGGCCAGAGCUUUGGAACGAAGCACGAGAAUCAUAAACAAAUCAACCUGUGUGCAUGCAAGAUGAUUCAACCAAGCAAGCUACCAUGUCUGAUUACAAUUCUGUCUUCACUGUUUCAUCUGACUUACAUGAUUGUGCAUGAUGUAUCAAAACUUUACUCGUAGUCUAAAAAAUGUCGCUAGUAAAUUCUCCGUUCUUUGUUUCUCCAAUGUUGACAGGUUGAUGAGGACCUUGAAAACAAAGCUUUUUAUGCUGGGCAUGUGUUGGGUGCAGCAAUAUUUUUGAUAAAAGCAGGAUCCCAAUCAGUAGUCUACACAGUUUUAAUGAAAGACGUCAUGACUCUAGAAGAAGUUAGAGCAGUUUUUAAAAAAUGUUUAGAAAAUGCAGCACUCUCAAACUACGCUGGAAUAUCAGAACAAGCCAAAAUUGAAGGUUUACUAAAUAUAAAUACAGUCAAACUCCUCUAUAGUGAACUCCCGGAUAUAGUGAACGAAAUGUUCGGUCUCGUGCCUUGCUAUAUGUUGUUUUUUGUGGAUAUAGUGAACCGAAAAAGGGAGGAAAUUCGAUAUAGUGAACUUUUUUCUGUCUUCAACUGGUUUUCUUCUUCAUUAUUUUCUAAUUAUUUUGAAAUUUCUACUUCAAAAUAAAUACAUACACCGAUUUUUAAUACCAUCUAUUGAGGGGAAUGUAUCGAUAAGCAUUUUUUUCUUGUUUGCUUGUUUUAUCUCUUUAUAUCUUUGCUUCUUUACACUUUCCCAUCCCU